rnacentral:rRNA from 1 species
GGAGGUAGUGACAAUAAAUCACAAUGCGGAACAAUGUUUUGCAAUUGGAUUGAGAACAACGUACAAACCUUAUCGAUAAACAAUUGGAGGGCAAGUCUGGUGCCAGCAGCCGCGGUAAUUCCAGCUCCAAUAGCGUAUAUUAACGUUGUUGCAGUUAAAAAGCUCGUAGUUGAAAUGAAGGGUAGUUGUGUAAUGAAUACAUUCGUGUAUUUUGUUAUUCAAGUACCCUCCUUCUAAAUUCGAUAUAUGAGUAUUAAUUUACUUGUAUAUGGUUUUAGACAUUUACUGUGAGAAAAUUAGAGUGUUCAAAGCAGGCAUUUGCUUGAAUAUAUUAGCAUGGAAUAAUCAUGUAUGAUUUUCAUGAUGUAUUUGAUUGGUUUGGUUGAUGAGAAUAAGAUUAAAAGGGACAGUUGGGGGUAUUCAUAUUCAAUAGUCAGAGGUGAAAUUCUCGGAUUUAUGGAAGAUGAACAAGUGCGAAAGCAUUUACCAAGGAUGUUUUCAUUAAUCAAGAACGAAAGUUA